rnacentral:rRNA from 1 species
AUUGAACGCUGGCGGCGUGCCUAACACAUGCAAGUCGAGCGGCAGCGCGGGAGCAAUCCUGACGGCGAGCGGCGGACGGGUGAGUAACGCUUGGGAAUCUGCCUGUUAGUGGGGGACAACCCGGGGAAACUCGGGCUAAUACCGCAUACGCACUACGGUGGAAAGCCGGGGACCGCAAGGCCUGGCGCUAACAGAUGAGCCCAAGUCGGAUUAGCUAGUUGGUAGGGUAACGGCCACCAAGGCGACGAUCCGUAACUGGUCUGAGAGGACGACCAGUCACACCGGAACUGAGACACGGUCCGGACUCCUACGGGAGGCAGCAGUGGGGAAUAUUGGACAAUGGGGGAAACCCUGGAUCCAGCGACGCCGCGUGGGUGAAGAAGGCCUG